GUGAAGGUGACCUGCAUGGAAGUGCUGGCUGGGUUCUGCCUGCUGAGGACGAGAUGGACAGACAGAGCUUGCUGUUCCUCUUUAGAGAGCAAGGAAGACUGUUGUUCUACAUGAAACGUAUUAAUUAGAUAUCUGCAUCGUAAAGGAAACACUUGAGCUGUAUGCUUCCAUACAACAUCACAUCUCUAGAUCAAGCUGAAUUUAAGGACAAACCUCUUCCCUGGGUUGCUUGCAUCAAGCUGCGCAAAUCCUGAUGGCCUUAAGCGAACCUACCUGGUCCCAGAGGAGCUACUCACGUCCUGCAUUGUGCAGAAAUUAAACUAUAUUCCAAAAGGCCUGCUUCAAAACCCAGCAGCAAGGCUAAGGGCCUCAAUAUCGCCUGUGUUGUCUGAGGGGGAAUAGCCGAAGGAAAAUGUUCCCAUCCUGUUCUCAAGACUGAAAAGCAAAGAUGUGCUGGAGACCAAUGACAAUAAUUCUUCCAGGCCUGGCUUUGGUGAAAUCCAAAUGAGAACAGGUUAUCUGAGGUUCUCCUUCUACCCCAUGUCACCGAACGCCUCUGCAGGGAUGAGUCAAUUCGGCAGACGUCCUAAGUGAAUUCUAGUGAGAAGAGGAAGCAGAGGACAGGCCGCAAUCGAGCCAAAGCAUCAGGCAAACAGAAAUCAGCCUGCUUGUGUGAGAGCUGCACCAUCAAGACCUCAUUGCAUCUAAGUGCCAAAAAAGUGGAAUUCCAGAACAGCAGGUGAAAAGAAAACAGAAGAUCAAAAGCAGCUCUGGCUGCCAAGAGAACCUGCAGCACUGCUUGGGGGUGCAUGAAAAAGUCACGCAGACUCCUGAUGGUGUCAGAGACUUUUGGAAGUGGUGGUGAUGAUGAAGGCCUUCAAAAGCCAGCCUGUCCCGUGCUGCACCUCUGCAGGGAGCUCUUGAACAGUCUACAGGAAGAAAGG